AUAGGCCUACCUAAUAAACCGUUGGAACACACAAGACCGGAAACCAUAGCAACGCCGGUAAACAAACCCCGAGAAGCCCAAUCCCUACGAGAGCUCCCCGCGCUACGGCCAUCCGGAGGCGCACAGAGCUUUUGGCCGUGAUAUUAUGUAUACAAUUAUAUUAUAUUAUAUUAUAUUAUUAUAUAUAGCGCUCCGGUAGUCGCAAACGGCAACAAUCACUUUCUCCUCCAUGCUGCAGUUCACCCGGACUGCACUGCACUGAGUUGGCCGGUUCAACGCUGAUUGGCUGUCAUAUUUUCAAAGAUUGAUAGAUUGUGGGGAACAUAGGACCCCCGGCAAUAGUGGGCGGAUGGUGCAUAGGGGCGAUUGGGGCGACGCACUACCAACUGGGAGAAAGAGAUUUUUUUUCUAACAAAUUCUAUCGCAGCAAAAGUAGUUUUCAGUGUUCUAGACAUAUUAUCUUUCAUUGUCCAAUCAGAAUCGUCAGAUUCAAGUCGCGUUUCAAAUGGUCCCGCCUCUCUGGGCGAAUUCAUUGACGUGGAAAAUCGCCCAAGGAUUCUCCCAUUGAAUGUUAUGUUAAAACUUUUUUUUUUCGGAAAAUGAGCCUUCAAUGCAUUAUUCCAUUGGGAUUUGGGACUCGCCGUGCUUGCGUCAUACGUAACUGCGCAAAGAGCGCGAAGGGAUAUCUUCGAUCAAGUGACUUGCUAAUUUCAACAUGGCUGCUAAUGUGUGCAAUUCCGUUGCAUCUCUGAAAGAAGUUCCUUUUAGUCUACGAUCCAAUUCAGAGAAAUUGGCAUUAAAACAAUCAGGACCUCCAAGACCAAAAUUAAUAAAAGAAAGCGGUCGCACGUCGACAUUCUGUAACAGAAGCUCCAGAAGAAGGACAUUGAUGCAGUCUUCAUCAAAAGGGCCCUCGAGAGCUUCACAAGCAGUGUGCAGACCAUUAGAGACUCUGACCAGCUGCAAGAGCCAUCAGGAACCGACCAAGAGACCAAGGACGGCUUUGACAGAAGAGGCGAAGCAGAGGCUGUCUGAACAGUUCUGCGACACCAUCCUGGCUCACACCAAAGCGAGGUUCUCUUUCAUUGGCCAUCUGAGUGCUACCUUAGUACAAGGAAUAUGUUUCAAAGGUACUGCCAUUCAUUUCCUGCUGAUGCUCUGAAUGCCACUGUGAAGGCAUAUCCCACGCUGAACAAGGCAAAGCUCAAGACGGAACUGUCUCUGAUCUAUGAGAAUCCUGAAGCAGCUUCAGUGUGCAUAUUGUAUGUAGUUCUCUGCAAACCAAUGGUGGCAUCAUGCCUUCAGUGUGCAUAUUGUAUAUAGUUAUCUGCAAACCUAUGGUGGCAUCAUGCCUUCAGUAUGCAUAUUGUAUGUAGUUCUCUGCAAACCUAUGGUGGCAUCAUGCCUUCAGUGUGCAUAUUGUAUAUAGUUCUCUGCAAACCUACGGUGGCAUCAUGCCUUCAGUGUGCAUAUUGUAUAUAGUUAUCUGCAAACCUACGGUGGCAUCAUGCCUUCAGUGUGCAUAUUGUAUAUAGUUAUCUGCAAACCUAUGGUGGCAUCAUGCCUUCAAUGUGAGAGAGAGAGUGUUCACUCUCUCUCACUCACUCUCACUCUCUCACAAACACACAUACAGAUAGAGACAGAGAGAGAAUGUUAACUUGUGUAUAAUUUCCAAUUAUUAUUGAUGUAUUUGC
ensembl:lncRNA